rnacentral:rRNA from 1 species
UACGUAGGGUGCUAGCGUUGUUCGGAAUCAUUGGGCGUAAAGCGCGUGUAGGCGGUUAGUUAAGUCGGGUGUGAAAUCCCUGGGCUCAACCGAGGAAGUGCAUCCGAAACUAACUAGCUGGAAGACGGUAGAGGAAGGUGGAAUUCCUAGUGUAGAGGUGAAAUUCGUAGAUACUAGGAGGAAUACCGGUGGCGAAGGCGGCCUCCUGGACCGCCCUUGACGCUGAGACGCGAAAGCGUGGGGAGCAAACAGG